AAACUGCGAUAAGUAGUGUGAAUUGCAUUUAGUGAAUCAUCGAAUCUUUGAACGCACCCUGCACUCACUGGUAUUCCGGUGAGUACGCCUGUUUCAGUAUCAUUGAAAACACACAAUCAAAACAUUUUCUUUGGUUUGAUUGGCUUUGGGUCUAUCAAAAAGUUUGGCUUGUUUCUUACAAGCCAAGCGGCCUGAAAUAUAUUGUCUGGCUAAUUGCAUCGUUGAUGAUCGCUAUUAGACUUUGGCUUUUUUAAAUGAACUGGAGGUUGAUUAACCAGUUUUAGCUUUAGUAAAAUGGUAAUUGUAAAAAAAAUCUCGAUCUUGGCUAGGUGUUUAUAGCCGAAAAUUUUUUUUUGGCUAUAACCGAAACCAAUAUAAUCACAUUUAGUUAUCGAUCUGAAAUCAGGUGGGACUACCCGCUGAACUUAAGC
rnacentral:misc_RNA from 1 species